GAUGUCAAGCUUCAUCACUUUUCAUCUCUGGAUAAAUGAGAUGUAACCCCAGCUGCCGUCCUUGUUCAGAUCUGUACAAUAAAGAGCAAAGCAUAAAACCAAGUCAAGGCUUUGAGGGAGUGACCUACAAAAUGUAUAAUGUGAAACAAUGCAAAUGUGAAAUGUGCAAAAUUCCCAUGAAGGAGCUGGAUGCUGACAGAUGCGCCAGUGAUAAUUCCCAUCUUCCAACACAGGAGCACAGCUUCCAUUUUCCAUGACAGAACAACAGUCAGAGCAGCUGUAAGGCAGGGUGACAUCCCAGACUUCCACCAACAAUGGGAUGAGAUUUGACAUCUGGAAUCACAACCACAACAGACCUAAGAGACCCACCAGCUUGAUGACGAGCUUCUUCUUUCAAAGAAAGGUAUAAGUCUGGGGGACCUAGUACUGCAAACCAUGACAAAUUAAGUGUGGCAUCCCUCACUUGCCUGAUGGAACUCAGUGAUAUUUUUUAAUUAACAAGAGUUAUUUUUAUGCAAGCUUCUCUCUUUCCUCCACUGUGUGUGCUUGGGGGCUGGUGGUGAGGAAAAAGAAAACAGCUGUGUGGGAAGCAUCAAGAAAAGGCAGGGCAUGCAAUCUUAGAGAUCAGUGACAUGUAAGAAAAACAGUGAGGAGAAAAACAUUUCUACUAAAUUUUUCCAUUUGUUUACCUUCCUUGUCAUAUAGACUUCCAAGAGUUGGAAGUCCAGGAUUUGAUCUCCAAAUCUUCCUGGCAGAUUACUCAUCUUCAUUUCAUUCAUAUAGUCCAGGGGUUUGUACAAAGGAAGAUGCCAGUUCUUUCCCAAUCAUAACUGAGGUAUCAAGAGAUAUUCUUUUGAAAUGUAACAAAGCAGAUCUAAAGUUCAUCUAAAAAAAAAUGGGUAAGUAUAUUGACAAAUAUUUUGGCAAAAUAAAAGUAAUGAGGAGAUACUAGCAUUAGCCUCAUCAGGCAUUAAAAUAUAUUAUAAAGUUAUAAUAUGUAAAACAGCUUGGGGCUGGCACUGAAACUGACAGUUCAAUUGAAGAGAAUAGACAAGCAAGAAGUAAAUCUUGAUGUAUGCAAGAAUUUAAUAAAUUUGAAAGAUGGUAAGGAAAGAUAGGAUUGCU